CUACUAAAUAGAGUCUGACGCUAUAUCUUAGCUGCUCUCGCCGGAAGCAGCAUAUCGCCUCCACCGUGAGUUUUCCCGGUUAUUCUCUGUUUGAUUUCGCUCAGCAGAUAUGUGCUCGGUUGUGCAUGUACAUAAAUCAUAAUCUCUUUUGAAAGUCUUAACGUUUUUUGGUUUGGAGCUAAUCGAUGGGUUGGUUCUUAGGGUUUUACUAUGUCAAUAGCAAUGAAUUUCCUCUAUGAUAUUGGUGGAAAAACGUUCUUCGCUGCUGUUGUAAGUGAUUAACUGAGAUGUUGACUUGUUUUAAUAAACUUGUUAAUGAUUUGCUUGCUUCGUAAUUUUGAAGUGUCACAUGAGGAAUGAUUUUUAUUUCCAUUAGAAUUUAGGUAAAUGUUUUGUUUUUGCAGGGCUUCUGAAGAAUUGGCAGAAGUCGAAGCAGAACUGGUUGGUUUUACUGUGUCUUCUCUACCGGCAUGCCUGGUAUUAUCUUCAUCAACACCUGAACCACAUAUUCCCUCUUGUUGAAUUUGUCGUUGUCUAGAAUCACUGUGUAAGAUGGAUCCAUUUUCUUUGAUU
rnacentral:lncRNA from 1 species